AUGAAAGAUGAAGUUGCGAUGAACUUGCUUCGAUUGGAAUCACGCUUGGACAUUGCUGUCGACUAUCUGGCUCAGCUGAAGGCUGCGAUGACCCGAGUGGACGCCAAACUCUGGCCUCAGGCAGAACUUUCUCAAAGUCUCGAGUCGUUGAUGACUCGAAUCAACCAGAUCCCUGACCGAGUGCAAGAGUGGAAGAAGUCCUCUGCCCAUUGUGGCGCUGACGUUGCCUUGUCAUUGGUUCGCGUGCACUGCAAGGAGGCUAAGGAAGAGAAGCUGGUGGCCCUCAAGGUAGCGAAUACUAAGAAGCACUCCUUCCAGGACUUCAUGGACACCUUCCUUGAGGCUGCUACCCACAUUGCCGAGAGCAUCGAUCUUGACAGCUUCUGCGAUCCGUCCAGCCCUUCUCCCGUCGAGUGA
rnacentral:rRNA from 1 species